GACGAACGCUGGCGGCGUGCUUAACACAUGCAAGUCGAACGGUAAGGCCCUUCGGGGUACACGAGUGGCGAACGGGUGAGUAACACGUGGGUGACCUGCCCUGCACUUCGGGAUAAGCCUGGGAAACUGGGUCUAAUACCGGAUAGGACCACUGCCUGCAUGGGUGGUGGUGGAAAGCUUUUGCGGUGUGGGAUGGGCCCGCGGCCUAUCAGCUUGUUGGUGGGGUGAUGGCCUACCAAGGCGACGACGGGUAGCCGGCCUGAGAGGGUGACCGGCCACACUGGGACUGAGAUACGGCCCAGACGCCUACGGGAGGCAGCAGUGGGGAAUAUUGCACAAUGGGCGCAAGCCUGAUGCAGCGACGCCGCGUGAGGGAUGACGGCCUUCGGGUUGUAAACCUCUUUCAGCACCGACGAAGCGCAAGUGGCGGUAGGUGCAGAAGAAGGACCGGCCAACUACGUGCCAGCCGCCGCAGUAA
rnacentral:rRNA from 1 species